CAACGGAUCAUACCAGUGCGAUCAGCACAACGAAGGCAACAAACCCACCAUUACGUUUCGCCUCGAUCGGUCACAGAUUCGCGACGAAACCCUAUCUCUCUCCGAAAGGUGAAAAGACACACUUAUACAUAUAAACAUGUUUUUUCAGAUUUUCUCAAAAUUCGUGCGUCAAACCCAAAAUUCAUCAGCGCCAUUAGUUCCAGAAUAACUGAACCGUUCGAAACGA
rnacentral:lncRNA from 1 species